rnacentral:lncRNA from 1 species
GGGUACAUAGGGAGUAUAAAGUUUCAAAAUUCAUACUGUAGCAGUAAUAUCAGUAACAACCAAUCCUCUUUUCCUCCGAUACCGACUCAACAAUGAAGUACAACUCUAUUCCUCUUCUGACUACUCAUUAACCUUCCAGAAUCUUCUAAAUCAACCACUAAUGAAUCACUUUGCGAAGAACAACUCGAUAAACUCUAUCAGAGUAAUCGACCCAACGUUGUUCUGGAAAUGCACCGGCGAUGAAGAAUCACGUAACGAUGACGUAACCAGAGAUCCGUGGCUACAAAGGCAACUUCUAUUAUCGCCCAUUUCUUCUUCACUGAUGAUUUCUAAUGGAAUCUCGGGAACUAUGUUGUUAGGGUUUGCCAAUGUUUGUACUUACUUCUUCAGGAGGGGUGUGUUGAAACAUGUAAUGCAAUUGCUAAGUAGUAGAAGUUAGUUAGAUAAGUUGCUGAGCUGGUGCUGUGCUAUCAUCAAGUUGUUAGAGUCAGUUAGAUGCUAAAACAAUGUAUAAAUAAGGCCAUCAGUGCAUGUGUAAUGUGUGAC